UGCGGGAAGGAUCAUUA
rnacentral:rRNA from 1 species